AGAGUUUGAUCCUGGCUCAGGAUGAACGCUGGCGGCAUGCCUAAUACAUGCAAGUCGAACGAGGGUCCUUCGGGACUCGAGUGGCGAACGGAUGAGUAACACGUAGGGAACCUGCCCGUGCGACCGGGAGAACUUUCGGAAACGGAAGCUGAUACCGGAUAGGGACAGAGACGGCAUCGACUCUGUGUUAAAGGAGCUGAAAGGCUCCGCGCACGGAUGGACCUGCGGUGCAUUAGCUGGUUGGUGAGGUAACGGCCCACCAAGGCGACGAUGCAUAGCCGGCCUGAGAGGGCGGACGGCCACACUGGGACUGAGACACGGCCCAGACUCCUACGGGAGGCAGCAGUAGGGAAUUUUCGUCAAUGGGCGCAAGCCUGAACGAGCAAUGCCGCGUGAACGAGGAAGGUCUUCGGAUCGUAAAGUUCUGUUGAAGGGGAAAAAGAGCGGAGAGAGGAAAUGGUCUCCGAUUGAUAUUACCCUUCGAGGAAGUCACGGCUAACUACGUGCCAGCAGCCGCGGUAAUACGUAGGUGGCGAGCGUUAUCCGGAAUGAUUGGGCGUAAAGGGUGCGUAGGCGGCCUGCUAAGUCUGGAGUGAAAGGUACCGGCUCAACCGGUACAGGCUCUGGAAACUGGCGGGCUAGAGAGCAGGAGAGGGCGGUGGAACUCCAUGUGUAGCGGUAAAAUGCGUAGAUAUAUGGAAGAACACCAGUGGCGAAGGCGGCCGCCUGGCCUGUUACUGACGCUGAGGCACGAAAGCGUGGGGAGCAAAUAGGAUUAGAUACCCUAGUAGUCCACGCCGUAAACGAUGAGGACCAAGUGUUGGGGAAGACCCAGUGCUGCAGUUAACGCAGUGAGUCCUCCGCCUGGGGAGUAUGCACGCAAGUGUGAAACUCAAAGGAAUUGACGGGGGCCCGCACAAGCGGUGGAGUAUGUGGUUUAAUUCGAAGCAACGCGAAGAACCUUACCAGGCCUUGACAUAGGGUGCGAAGCUAUGGAGACAUAGUGGAGGUAAACAUCCAUACAGGUGGUGCAUGGUUGUCGUCAGCUCGUGUCGUGAGAUGUUCAGUUAAGUCUGGCAACGAGCGCAACCCUCGUGAUGUGUUACCAAUAUCGAGUUAGGGACUCACAUCAGACUGCCGGUGAGAAACCGGAGGAAGGCGGGGAGGACGUCAAAUCAUCAUGCCCCUUAUGGCCUGGGCUACACACGUACUACAAUGGCGGCGACAGAGGGCAGCGAGCCUGCGAAGGCAAGCGAAUCCCCAAAAAGCCGUCCCAGUUCGGAUUGGAGUCUGCAACCCGACUCCAUGAAGUUGGAAUCGCUAGUAAUCGCGGAUCAGCAUGCCGCGGUGAAUACGUUCUCGGGCCUUGCACACACC
rnacentral:rRNA from 1 species